rnacentral:lncRNA from 1 species
ACACGUUGAACAUUGUCUUCCUGCUACCUUUGUUGGAUCCUGAAAUGAAGCUCAACUAUUGUUUGUGUACCUCAGACUGCAGUUUAAGGCCAGAUUGUUCCCCACUAAAGGGAUCUGCCCUCUCUCACAGCCCAUCAGUGGAGUUCAGGAGAGCUCAGCAAGGCCCUGCAGCAGUCUGUAAAGAAGUGGAGGGGAAAUAGUUCCCAGAAAGGCUCUGCAGCUGAAAUGGAAAGAAUCAGAAGGACUCGAGGCUGAGUCAGAAACUGGAGCGUGUUCGAGGCUCGAAGCACACAUGGAAACAUGGAAAGAUUCCUUCACCUCUCAGACUGAAAUGUUUAGAGCUGAUCACUGGCAACAAUGUGCUGGGUUAUCCAGAACACUUUCCCACUUUUACUUAUAAGCCCAAGAAAAUAGAAGUGAAGGGUUAAUGUAGAUACAAGUAACAUUCACUUCACUUGCACUAAGCCUUCCAGAUUUUACAGGAAUGCUUGCAGCAGUGAAGGAACUUUGACAGGAGCCACCAGGUCUAGUAGUGUGGGGAGGUAUUCCACAUAUUGGAAAAAAGGGUGUAGUCUAUGUAAAAAAAAAAAAAAAAAAAAAGUGUUUUUAUAAUUACUUUUGUGCUCUUACUGGAGUAAGUAAUUCCUAUGCACUGACCUUAUUUUUUGUUCUCUUAGUGAAAUAUUUAUAAUGAGUUAACAGACCUUUCACUUCGAUUUGAAGUGACCUGUGCUGUUUUUAUUUUUAAACCCAUACAAAUAUUUUUCCUGACUGAGUUGCUGAGUAGCUUAUGGUGUCAUACACUUUGAAUUUCAGGUAUCACUGAAAUGAUUUCAGUGAAACUGUGAAUGUAGAAAUAAGGCAAAACUGUUCUUGCAUGCAAAGGAAAGACUACAAAAGAAGACUUUCCAUGGCUUUUUCUACUUCUUUGAUGUCAUUUCAUCUGAUAUUUAUUUGAAAAUCUAAACAUGAGCGCAUGUGCACUUCCUGUGGUGGAUACUGUUUCUAUUUCUGAAGUAAAGGAAAUGAUUAUUUUCCUAUUUGCUUACUUCUUUUGUACUGAUUCAGCCACAAAUACUAGAUGACCUCAGCUGGAUACAGAUCUAUCCGGGCUUUUCUGUUCUGCUCCUU